CUUUGUGGUCUUCUUUAACAGUCCUUAUUCUGUUAAAAGGUGAAAUUAUAAAUCUUGGAUGUUCUAAUUUUGCACCGUUCUAAAAGUGGUUUUUUUUUUUUUUUUUUGCGGUGAUGUUUCAGGUACUUAAAUAUAAAAACCUUACUCUCAAAAAUUAUUCUCUUCAUGAUAAUCACAACUAUGAAAUAAUAGUAGCUAAGAAAAAACCCUGCUUUUCUAGGCCUGGCAGUGUAGAUGUGACCUAGAGAGAAUCAACGACUUUCUCCAGAAUUCAAGUGUCUGGUUCUCACCGGCCUUUGAAUCUGCCAGAUCCAUCCUCCCAGCAGACGCCACAUACAGGUGACAUCCAAUGUCUUCUCACCUUUCGCAGACAUCCUUCUGAACCACUUGUGCCCACCCACUCUGCACACUGCAUUGUGACCCACUUCCAAACCUCCUGGAUGACUUGAAAUCAAUGCUUACUGAGAACAAAGUUGCAAAAGUAAUAUGGAACUUCUUAACUUGUCGUAGAAAAGGUGGAGUGCUCGUGAUUAUAAGCAUCACGAUUCUAACCUCUGAGGGGUCGAGAGGCAUCAAAGAAAACAGUUUACGAGCUGAGACGAGGUCAUGUAUGAACUCCAGAGACAUCCAGUGAAAGUCGUGAAGGAGAUAAAGCAAAAUGCCCCACCAAUUUUGACCACCUUCACGAGGAGAAUCAGAGAAGGCAUGAAUUCUGAGCAUAUUCACCGGGAGAU